AUGAACAGAUUCCAACGCUUUAUCUCGGAUCAUGGUCUCCACGACAUCUACCUCCAUGGGCGGCGAUACACUUGGUCCAAUGAGCAGGACAACCCGACCCUGGUUCGUAAUGACCGUGUGUUGUGUACCCCGUCAUGGGAGCUCGACCACGCCCACUGCCUCUUGUGUUGUCUUGCGUCUUCGGUAUCGGAUCAC
rnacentral:rRNA from 1 species